rnacentral:rRNA from 1 species
AACGAACGCUGGCGGCGUGGAUAAGACAUGCAAGUCGAACGAGGUGCAACAUUUCGGUGUAGCAUUUAGUGGCGAACGGGUGAGUAACACGUGAGUGACCUGCCUCUAAGUUGGGGAUAGCCCUGGGAAACCGGGAUUAAUACCCGAUAGGCUCGAAAGAGUAAAGGAGAAAUCCGCUUAGAGAGGGGCUCGCGUCCUAUUAGUUAGUUGGUGAGGUAAUGGCUCACCAAGGCGAUGACGGGUAGCCGGUCUGAGAGGAUGUCCGGCCACACUGGAACUGAGACACGGUCCAGACACCUACGGGUGGCAGCAGUCGAGAAUCAUUCACAAUGGACGAAAGUCUGAUGGUGCGACGCCGCGUGGGGGAGGAAGGCCUUCGGGUUGUAAACCCCUGUCAUGUGGGAGCAAGACGUAAGUUUGAUAGUACCACAAGAGGAAGAGACGGCUAACCCUGUGCCAGCAGCCGCGGUAAUACAGAGGUCUCAAGCGUUGCUCGGAAUCACUGGGCGUAAAGGGUACGUAGGCGGCGCCAUAAGUCGUGCGUGAAAGGCAAGGGCUCAACCCUUGGAGUGCGCAUGAUACUGUGGUGCUAGAGCGAUGGAGAGGGAACUGGAAUUCUUGGUGUAGCAGUGAAAUGCGUAGAUAUCAAGAGGAAGACUCGUGGCGAAGGCGAGUUCCUGGACAUGUGCUGACGCUGAGGUACGAAGGCUAGGGUAGCGAAAAGGGAUUAGAUACCCCUGUAGCCCUAGCAGUAAUCGGUGCACGCUUGGUGUGGGAGGAAUCGACCCCUUCUGUGCCGGAAGCUAACGCGUUAAGCGUGCCGCCUGGGGAGUACGGUCGCAAGAUUAAACUCAAAGAAAUUGACGGGACCCGCACAAGCGGUGGAGUUUUGGCUUAUUCCGAUGCAACGCGAAGAACCUUACCAAGGCUUGACUUCCGUGCUAACCUAUGAAAUAGGAAUUCCCUUAGAAACCGGAACAGGGCUGCUGCCGUCUCCACUC